rnacentral:rRNA from 1 species
AGAGUUUGAUCCUGGCUCAGAAUGAACGCUGGCGGCAUGCCUAACACAUGCAAGUCGAACGAGAAAGCCUCUUCGGAGGCGAGUAUAGUGGCGAACUGGUGAGGAACGCGUAAGAAUCUCCCCUUCAGUGAAGGAUACCCUUGAGAAAUUAAGGUUAAUACUGCAUAGUCCCUUUUUGGGUAAAGACGGCCUCUUGCUGUCGCUGAUGGAUGAGCUUGCGUCCUAUUAGCUUGUUGGUGGGGUAAAAGCCUACCAAGGCUGUUAUGGGUAGCCGGCCUGAGAGGGUGUACGGCCACACUGGGACUGAGAUACGGCCCAGACUCCUACGGGAGGCAGCAGUGAGGAAUUUUGCGCAAUGGACGAAAGUCUGACGCAGCGAUGUCGCGUGGAGGAUGAAGGUUUUCGGAUUGUAAACUCCUGUUAAGUGGGAAGAAAGGCCUGUGGGUAAUAUACGCAGGAGAUGACGGUACCACUAGAGAAAGCUCCGGCUAACUUCGUGCCAGCAGCCGCGGUAAUACGAAGGGAGCGAGCGUUAUUCGGAAUUACUGGGCGUAAAGAGCGUGUAGGCGGUUAAUUAAGUUAGUUGUCAAAUACCUUGGCUUAACUGGGGGUCGGCAAUUAAAACUGGUUAACUAGAGGAUAAGAGAGAGAAGUGGAAUUCUCGGAGUAGCGGUAAAAUGCAUAGAUCUCGAGAGGAACACCAGUUGCGAAGGCGGCUUCUUGGCUUAUUCCUGACGCUCAAGCGCGAAAGCGUGGGGAGCAAACAGGAUUAGAUACCCUGGUAGUCCACGCCGUAAACGAUGAUCACUAGAUGUGGGUUUUGUUUAACAAGAUCUGUGUCGUAGCUAACGCGUUAAGUGAUCCGCCUGGGGAGUACGGUCGCAAGAUUAAAACUCAAAGGAAUUGACGGGGGUCCGCACAAGCGGUGGAACAUGUGGUUUAAUUCGACACUACGCGAGGAACCUUACCUGGACUUGACAUGUAGUCGACCGCCACAGAGAUGUGGUUUUCCAAGUUUACUUGGACGGUUACACAGGUGCUGCAUGGCUGUCGUCAGCUCGUGUCGUGAGAUGUUGGGUUAAGUCCUUUAACGAGCGCAACCCUUGCCAUCAGUUGCUACUUUCUUCGGAAAGGCACUCUGGUGGGACUGCCUAGGAAACUAGGAGGAAGGUGGGGAUGACGUCAAGUCCUCAUGGCCCUUAUGUCCAGGGCUACACACGUGUUACAAUGGCUAGUACAAAGAGGAGCGAUCCCGCGAGGGUCAGCAAAUCUCACAAAGCUAGUCUAAGUUCGGAUUGGAGUCUGCAAUUCGACUCCAUGAAGCUGAAAUCGCUAGUAAUCGCAUAUCAGAACGAUGCGGUGAAUACGUUCUCGGACCUUGUACACACCGCCCGUCACACCACGAAAAUCGUCUAUACCCGAAAUCAUUUUAGCUAACCUUUUUAAGGAGGCGGGUGAUGAAGGUAAGGAGGGUAAUUGGGGUGAAGUCGAAACAAGGUA